AAUGAAAUUCUUAAAGAAAUAUUAGAAUGAUCACAAAUUUUAUUCAAAUAUAUGUCAAUUCAACCUUAAUUUAAUUCUAGUUAAAACCCUAUUGAAUUUCACUCAACUUUAGAUCAAAUCUAAUUAAAUCUUAAACCUUAAUAAUUCCUAAACCCUAAGUCAAAUCCUAAACAAAUCUUAAAUUAAACCCUAUUCCAAAUCCUAAAUCCUAAACCAAAUCCUAAUCCAACCCUAAAUCCUAAACUAAAUCUUAAAUCAAAUCCUAACCAAAUCCUAAUCCAAAUCCUAAAUCAAACCCUAACCAAAUCCUAAACCCUAAUCCAAACCCUAAUCCAAACCCUAAUCCAAUCCUAAACUCUAAUCCAAAUCCUAAACCCUAAAUCAAACCUUAAAUCAAAUCCUAACCAAACUCUAGUCCAAACUCUAAUCCAAACUCUAAAUCAAAUCCUAGCCAAAUCCUAAACCCUAAUCCAAACCCUAAUCCAAAUCCUAAUCCAAUC
rnacentral:lncRNA from 1 species